AGCCUGCAUUCACUGCUGUAAUUAUUAUUAUUAACACUUUUAGCUUUCAGUUUCAACUAUAAAUAAAAAUAAACCUAACUUUUUUUUUUUUUUUAAAGCGACGCCAACAACACAAGCAGAGCCUGUGAGGAGUAACGAAGUGCCCACUUGUUCUACUUCAUCUUCUGCGGUUUCCAGACCACCCAGUGCAGCUGUUUCCAGACCUUCGGCCAGUUUUACACAUGGACAAUUAAUACGCUCCACAUCUAAUGUUACACACACAGCUUCCUCGGCGGACACACUUCCUGAUCUAAGGACCAGCACUCCAGAAACUGGUGUUGGUAGAGCAACUGGUGAUUUGGGACGUCUUUUCCAGCGAUUGACUGGACAUUCAUCUCCAUUAUUUGAUGAAGAAGAAAACUCAUCAAGGGAGAUCACUAUCAAUCUCAUGCCGAUAGUGGAAAAUCCCAUUCAAGAUGAACCACCAGGAGGGCAUGAUGGAAGUGAGACUCCAGAUAUUCUUGAAGAUUUUGGAGAUGCGCAACCGGAUGAA